rnacentral:rRNA from 1 species
CUACGUGCCAGCAGCCGCGGUAAUACGGAGGGUGCGAGCGUUAAUCGGAAUAACUGGGCGUAAAGGGCACGCAGGCGGCUAUUUAAGUGAGGUGUGAAAUCCCCGGGCUUAACCUGGGAAUUGCAUUUCAGACUGGGUAGCUAGAGUACUUUAGGGAGGGGUAGAAUUCCACGUGUAGCGGUGAAAUGCGUAGAGAUGUGGAGGAAUACCGAAGGCGAAGGCAGCCCCUUGGGAAUGUACUGACGCUCAUGUGCGAAAGCGUGGGGAGCAAACAGGAUUAGAUACCCUGGUAGUCCACGCUGUAAACGCUGUCGAUUUGGGGAUUGGGCUUUAAGCUUGGUGCCCGUAGCUAACGUGAUAAAUCGACCGCCUGGGGAGUACGGCCGCAAGGUUAAAACUCAAAUGAAUUGACGGGGGCCCGCACAAGCGGUGGAGCAUGUGGUUUAAUUCGAUGCAACGCGAAGAACCUUACCUACUCUUGACAUCCAUGGAAUCCUGUAGAGAUACGGGAGUGC